rnacentral:rRNA from 1 species
ACUAAGCGUACACGGUGGAUGCCCUGGCAGUCAGAGGCGAUGAAGGACGUGCUAAUCUGCGAAAAGCGCCGGCGAGGUGAUAUGAACCCUUGACCCGGCGAUGUCCGAAUGGGGAAACCCAGUGCAAUUCGUUGCACUAUCGUUAACUGAAUACAUAGGUUAACGAGGCGAACCGGGGGAACUGAAACAUCUAAGUACCCCGAGGAAAAGAAAUCAACCGAGAUUCCCCCAGUAGCGGCGAGCGAACGGGGAGCAGCCCGGAGUCUGAAUCAGCUUGUGUGUUAGUGGAACGGUCUGGAAAGUCCGACGGUACAGGGUGAUAGUCCCGUACACGAAAGCACACAUGCUGUGAACUCGAAGAGUAGGGCGGGACACGUGGUAUCCUGUCUGAAUAUGGGGGGACCAUCCUCCAAGGCUAAAUACUCCUGACUGACCGAUAGUGAACCAGUACCGUGAGGGAAAGGCGAAAAGAACCCCGGCGAGGGGAGUGAAAAAGAACCUGAAACCGUGUACGUACAAGCAGUGGGAGCCUCUUUAUGGGGUGACUGCGUACCUUUUGUAUAAUGGGUCAGCGACUUAUAUUCUGUAGCAAGGUUAACCGUAUAGGGGAGCCGAAGGGAAACCGAGUCUUAACUGGGCGUUAAGUUGCAGGGUAUAGACCCGAAACCCGGUGAUCUAGCCAUGGGCAGGUUGAAGGUUGGGUAACACUAACUGGAGGACCGAACCGACUAAUGUUGAAAAAUUAGCGGAUGACCUGUGGCUGGGGGUGAAAGGCCAAUCAAACCGGGAGAUAGCUGGUUCUCCCCGAAAGCUAUUUAGGUAGCGCCUCGUGAACUCAUCUUCGGGGGUAGAGCACUGUUUCGGCUAGGGGGCCAUCCCGGCUUACCAACCCGAUGCAAACUACGAAUACCGAAGAAUGUUAUCACGGGAGACACACGGCGGGUGCUAACGUCCGUCGUGAAGAGGGAAACAACCCAGACCGCCAGCUAAGGUCCCAAAGUCAUGGUUAAGUGGGAAACGAUGUGGGAAGGCACAGACAGCCAGGAUGUUGGCUUAGAAGCAGCCAUCAUUUAAAGAAAGCGUAAUAGCUCACUGGUCGAGUCGGCCUGCGCGGAAGAUGUAACGGGGCUAAACCAUGCACCGAAGCUGCGGCAGCGACACUAUGUGUUGUUGGGUAGGGGAGCGUUCUGUAAGCCGUUGAAGGUGUGCUGUGAGGCAUGCUGGAGGUAUCAGAAGUGCGAAUGCUGACAUAAGUAACGAUAAAGCGGGUGAAAAGCCCGCUCGCCGGAAGACCAAGGGUUCCUGUCCAACGUUAAUCGGGGCAGGGUGAGUCGACCCCUAAGGCGAGGCCGAAAGGCGUAGUCGAUGGGAAACAGGUUAAUAUUCCUGUACUUGGUGUUACUGCGAAGGGGGGACGGAGAAGGCUAUGUCAGCCGGGCGACGGUUGUCCCGGUUUAAGCAUGUAGGCGGAGGUUCCAGGUAAAUCCGGUACCUUUUUAACGCUGAGGUGUGAUGACGAGGCACUACGGUGCUGAAGUGAUAAAUGCCCUGCUUCCAGGAAAAGCCUCUAAGCAUCAGGUAACACGAAAUCGUACCCCAAACCGACACAGGUGGUCAGGUAGAGAAUACCAAGGCGCUUGAGAGAACUCGGGUGAAGGAACUAGGCAAAAUGGUGCCGUAACUUCGGGAGAAGGCACGCUGAUGUGUAGGUGAAGCCCCUGCGGGCGGAGCUGAAAUCAGUCGAAGAUACCAGCUGGCUGCAACUGUUUAUUAAAAACACAGCACUGUGCAAACACGAAAGUGGACGUAUACGGUGUGACGCCUGCCCGGUGCCGGAAGGUUAAUUGAUGGGGUUAGCGGCAACGCGAAGCUCUUGAUCGAAGCCCCGGUAAACGGCGGCCGUAACUAUAACGGUCCUAAGGUAGCGAAAUUCCUUGUCGGGUAAGUUCCGACCUGCACGAAUGGCGUAAUGAUGGCCAGGCUGUCUCCACCCGAGACUCAGUGAAAUUGAACUCGCUGUGAAGAUGCAGUGUACCCGCGGCAAGACGGAAAGACCCCGUGAACCUUUACUAUAGCUUGACACUGAACACUGGUCCUUGAUGUGUAGGAUAGGUGGGAGGCUUUGAAGCGUGGACGCCAGUCUGCGUGGAGCCAACCUUGAAAUACCACCCUUUAAUGGCUGGUGUUCUAACGUAGACCCGUAAUCCGGGUUGCGGACAGUGUCUGGUGGGUAGUUUGACUGGGGCGGUCUCCUCCCAAAGAGUAACGGAGGAGCACGAAGGUUGGCUAAUCCUGGUCGGACAUCAGGAGGUUAGUGCAAUGGCAUAAGCCAGCUUGACUGCGAGCGUGACGGCGCGAGCAGGUGCGAAAGCAGGUCAUAGUGAUCCGGUGGUUCUGAAUGGAAGGGCCAUCGCUCAACGGAUAAAAGGUACUCCGGGGAUAACAGGCUGAUACCGCCCAAGAGUUCAUAUCGACGGCGGUGUUUGGCACCUCGAUGUCGGCUCAUCACAUCCUGGGGCUGAAGUAGGUCCCAAGGGUAUGGCUGUUCGCCAUUUAAAGUGGUACGCGAGCUGGGUUUAGAACGUCGUGAGACAGUUCGGUCCCUAUCUGCCGUGGGCGCUGGAGAAUUGAGGGGGGCUGCUCCUAGUACGAGAGGACCGGAGUGGACGCAUCACUGGUGUUCGGGUUGUCAUGCCAAUGGCACUGCCCGGUAGCUAAAUGCGGAAGAGAUAAGUGCUGAAAGCAUCUAAGCACGAAACUUGCCCCGAGAUGAGUUCUCCCUGAGACCUUGAGUCUCCUGAAGGAACGUUGAAGACGACGACGUUGAUAGGUCGGGUGUGUAAGCGCAGCGAUGCGUUGAGCUAACCGAUACUAAUGAACCGUGAGGCUUAACC